rnacentral:rRNA from 1 species
GAAACCUGGGCUAAUACCGCAUAACACUUACGAGUCAAAGCAGCAAUGCGCUUGGAGAGGAGUUCGCGGCAGAUUAGCUAGUUGGCGGGGUAAUGGCCCACCAAGGCGAUGAUCUGUAUCCGGCCUGAGAGGGCGCACGGACACACUGGAACUGAAACACGGUCCAGACUCCUACGGGAGGCAGCAGUGGGGAAUUUUGCGCAAUGGGGGAAACCCUGACGCAGCAACGCCGCGUGGAGGAUGAAGUCUCUUGGGACGUAAACUCCUUUCGAUAGGGAAGAUUAUGACGGUACCUAUAGAAGAAGCCCCGGCUAACUUCGUGCCAGCAGCCGCGGUAAUACGAGGGGGGCAAGCGUUGUUCGGAAUUAUUGGGCGUAAAGGGCGCGUAGGCGGUUUGGCAAGUUUGGUGUGAAAUCUUCGGGCUCAACUCGAAGUCUGCACCGAAAACUGCCGGGCUUGAGUAUGGGAGAGG